rnacentral:miRNA from 1 species
AACAAUAUCCUGGUGCUGCUUGA